CCUGGCUCAGGACGAACGCUGGCGGCGUGCCUAAUACAUGCAAGUCGAGCGGACAGAAGGGAGCUUGCUCCCGGACGUUAGCGGCGGACGGGUGAGUAACACGUGGGCAACCUGCCCCUUAGACUGGGAUAACUCCGGGAAACCGGAGCUAAUACCGGAUAAUCCCUUUCUCCACCUGGAGAGAGGGUGAAAGAUGGCUUCGGCUAUCACUAAGGGAUGGGCCCGCGGCGCAUUAGCUAGUUGGUAAGGUAACGGCUUACCAAGGCAACGAUGCGUAGCCGACCUGAGAGGGUGAUCGGCCACACUGGGACUGAGACACGGCCCAGCCUCAUUCCUACGGAGGCAGCAGUAGGGAAUCUUCCGCAAUGGACGAAAGUCUGACGGAGCAACGCCGCGUGAGUGAGGAAGGCCUUCGGGUCGUAAAGCUCUGUUGUGAGGGAAGAAGCGGUACCGUUCGAAUAGGGCGGUACCUUGACGGUACCUCACCAGAAAGCCACGGCUAACUACGUGCCAGCAGCCGCGGUAAUACGUAGGUGGCAAGCGUUGUCCGGAAUUAUUGGGCGUAAAGCGCGCGCAGGCGGCUUCUUAAGUCUGAUGUGAAAUCUCGGGGCUCAACCCCGAGCGGCCAUUGGAAACUGGGGAGCUUGAGUGCAGAAGAGGAGAGUGGAAUUCCACGUGUAGCGGUGAAAUGCGUAGAGAUGUGGAGGAACACCAGUGGCGAAGGCGACUCUCUGGUCUGUAAAUGACGCUGAGGCGCGAAAGCUUGUGGAGCAGAGAGGAUAAG
rnacentral:rRNA from 1 species